rnacentral:rRNA from 1 species
UACGUAGGGCGAGGCGUGUCCGGUAUUCGAUUGGUGCGUAAAGCGCGGGCAGGCGGCCCGCUCAGUCGGCCGUGAAAGCGCCGGGCUCAACUCGGCGAGGUCGGGCGAUACUGGCGGGCUCGAGGCUGGUAGAGGGCGGUGGAAUUCCGGGUGUAGUGGUGGAAUGCGUAGAGCUCCGGAGGAACACCAGUGGCGAAGGCGGCC